GAGUGGGAAGCCAUUCUCUUCUCCAGGGAAUCUUACUGACCCAGGGAUUGAACCCGAGUCUCCUGAAUUGCAGACAGAAUCUUUACCAUCUGAGCCACCAGGGAAGCCCCUGGUGUGGGGGAAGCAGUGGCAAUUAACUGAGGAAGCAUGGAUCAACAAUCUUUCUAGUUUGUUGAGAGAAGUCUGUUGGCAUUCCACUUCACUUGUCAGGCUGCAUAUAAAGGCAAAGAUUGGAGAUCUACAAAUGAAAAGAAAUAUUUCAACAGACAAUGCCUGGUACUUUCAAUCUGAUCACUUUACAAACAAGCAGAUGCUUUCUCUAUUGUACGGAUGACCUCAUCAGGGAAAGUGGAUUAAGCUCUGGAUCACUCUACUCAGAGCCAUCCUCCAGCACUUCUCAAAUCACAGGCCUAUUCUUCUGCUCUACUCUUACCUUAAAAAAACAAGGACGAUUCUAAAUAACAUUCAUCUCAUUAAUUAAAAAAACAAAUAGGUCCUGUUCUCAUCAUCUGAUGAAGAUGGAGAUAGGUUAGCCCCUUUCCUUGGAAGUCUCUCUUAAAAGUUGCCUCAGGGAGUUUCCGGGUUGUUUGACCUCUACAACUCUUGAGUCCCUUGGACUGCAAGGAGAUCCAACCAGUCUGUCCUAAAGGAGAUCAGUCCUGGGUGUUCACUGGAAGGACUGAUGUUGAAGCUGCAAC